rnacentral:rRNA from 1 species
GUGGGGAAUAUUGGACAAUGGGGGGAACCCUGAUCCAGCCAUGCCGCGUGUGUGAAGAAGGCCUUUUGGUUGUAAAGCACUUUAAGCGAGGAGGAGGCUACCGAGAUUAAUACUCUUGGAUAGUGGACGUUACUCGCAGAAUAAGCACCGGCUAACUCUGUGCCAGCAGCCGCGGUAAUACAGAGGGUGCAAGCGUUAAUCGGAUUUACUGGGCGUAAAGCGCGCGUAGGUGGCCAAUUAAGUCAAAUGUGAAAUCCCCGAGCUUAACUUGGGAAUUGCAUUCGAUACUGGUUGGCUAGAGUAUGGGAGAGGAUGGUAGAAUUCCAGGUGUAGCGGUGAAAUGCGUAGAGAUCUGGAGGAAUACCGAUGGCGAAGGCAGCCAUCUGGCCUAAUACUGACACUGAGGUGCGAAAGCAUGGGGAGCAAACAGGAUUAGAUACCUUUGUAGUCC